rnacentral:rRNA from 1 species
UAAACKACUCUCGGCAACGGNUAUCUCGGCUCUCGCAUCGAUGAAGAACGUAGCGAAAUGCGAUACUUGGUGUGAAUUGCAGAAUCCCGUGAACCAUCGAGUCUUUGAACGCAAGUUGCGCCCGAAGCCUUCUGGCCGAGGGCDCKCCUKCCUGGGCGUCACGCA